UGGAGUUCAGACGUGUGCUCUUCCGAUCUGGAAUUGGCGGGGGAGCACCACAACGGGUGGAGCUUGCGGUUUAAUUGGAUUCAACGCCGGAAAUCUUACCGGGACCGACAGCAAUAUGAAGGCCAGGCUGAAGACUUUGCCGGAUUAGCUGAGAGGUGGUGCAUGGCCGUCGUCAGUUCGUACUGUGAAGCAUCCUGUUAAGUCAGGCAACGAGCGAGACCCACGCCCACAGUUGCCAGCGUACUCUCUGGAGUGACGGGUACACUGUGGGGACCGCCGCUGCUAAAGCGGAGGAAGGAAUGGGCAACGGUAGGUCAGUAUGCCCCGAAUAUCCCGGGCUACACGCGAGCUACAAUGGUUGGUACAAUGGGUAUCUACCCCGAAAGGGGACGGGAAUCUCCUAAAACCAAUCUUAGUUCGGAUUGAGGGCUGCAACUCGCCCUCAUGAAGCUGGAAUCCGUAGUAAUCGCGUUUCAACAGAACGCGGUGAAUACGUCCCUGCUCCUUGCACACACCGCCCGUAG
rnacentral:rRNA from 1 species